AGCAAUAAUGGCACUUUCUGCCUGCUCAAAAAAGCAAAUAGAUCUGCAUCAAACAUUUGCAUGAUGUUUUUGUGUGCAACAAUACAAUGUCUAGGUGCUGUAAAUAUAAUGUGGAAAUGCCCGUAGAUAUUAAAUGGUAAAUAUACAAUCAAUACUCCUGCAACUCAGAAUUUGAUUAUACAAUAUUUAUCAUUCAUGUAGGAUACAAGACAUCCUAUAAAUUUUGACAAAAUUAUAAAAGUUUAUUAUUAUUAUUAUUAUUA
rnacentral:misc_RNA from 1 species